rnacentral:rRNA from 1 species
GAUGAACGCUAGCGGCAGGCUUAACACAUGCAAGUCGAGGGGUAGAAGCAGCUUGCUGCUUUGAGACCGGCGCACGGGUGCGUAACGCGUAUGCAAUCUGCCUCUCACAGGGGGAUAGCCCGGAGAAAUUCGGAUUAAUACCCCAUGGUAUAUAGAUGUGGCAUCACAUUUUUAUUAAAGAUUUAUCGGUGAGAGAUGAGCAUGCGUCCCAUUAGCUAGUUGGUGUGGUAACGGCACACCAAGGCUACGAUGGGUAGGGGUCCUGAGAGGGAGAUCCCCACACUGGUACUGAGACACGGACCAGACUCCUACGGGAGGCAGCAGUGAGGAAUAUUGGUCAAUGGGCGCAAGCCUGAACCAGCCAUGCCGCGUGCAGGAUGAA